rnacentral:rRNA from 1 species
GAUGAACGCUGGCGGCGUGCCUAAUACAUGCAAGUCGAGCGAACGGACGAGAAGCUUGCUUUUCUGAUGUUAGCGGCGGACGGGUGAGUAACACGUGGAUAACCUACCUAUAAGACUGGGAUAACUUCGGGAAACCGGAGCUAAUACCGGAUAAUAUUUUGAACCGCAUGGUUCAAAAGUGAAAGACGGUCUUGCUGUCACUUAUAGAUGGAUCCGCGCUGCAUUAGCUAGUUGGUAAGGUAACGGCUUACCAAGGCAACGAUGCAUAGCCGACCUGAGAGGGUGAUCGGCCACACUGGAACUGAGACAAGGUCCAGACUCCUACGGGAGGCAGCAGUAGGGAAUCUUCCGCAAUGGGCGAAAGCCUGACGGAGCAACGCCGCGUGAGUGAUGAAGGUAUUCGGAUCGUAAAACUCUGUUAUUAGGGAAGAACAUAUGUGUAAGUAACUGUGCACAUCUUGACGGUACCUAAUCAGAAAGCCACGGCUAACUACGUG